GAUGAACGCUGGCGGCGUGCCUAAUACAUGCAAGUCGAGCGAACAGAUAAGGAGCUUGCUCCUUUGACGUUAGCGGCGGACGGGUGAGUAACACGUGGGUAACCUACCUAUAAGACUGGGAUAACUUCGGGAAACCGGAGCUAAUACCGGAUAACAUUUGGAACCGCAUGGUUCUAAAGUGAAAGAUGGUUUUGCUAUCACUUAUAGAUGGACCCGCGCCGUAUUAGCUAGUUGGUAAGGUAACGGCUUACCAAGGCAACGAUACGUAGCCGACCUGAGAGGGGGAUCGGCCACACUGGAACAGAGACACGGUCCAAACUCCUACGGGAGGCAGGAGUAGGGAAUCUUCCGCAAUGGGCGAAAGCCUGACGGAGCAACGCCGCGUGAGUGAUGAAGGGUUUCGGCUCGUAAAACUCUGUUAUUAGGGAAGAAAAAAUGUGUAAGUAACGGUCCACGUUUUGACGGUACCUAAUCAGAAAGCCACGGCUAACUACGU
rnacentral:rRNA from 1 species